rnacentral:rRNA from 1 species
GGGUUGUGAGGUUAAGCGACUAAGCGUACACGGUGGAUGCCCUGGCAGUCAGAGGCGAUGAAGGACGUGCUAAUCUGCGAUAAGCGUCGGUAAGGUGAUAUGAACCGUUAUAACCGGCGAUUUCCGAAUGGGGAAACCCAGUGUGUUUCGACACACUAUCAUUAACUGAAUCCAUAGGUUAAUGAGGCGAACCGGGGGAACUGAAACAUCUAAGUACCCCGAGGAAAAGAAAUCAACCGAGAUUCCCCCAGUAGCGGCGAGCGAACGGGGAGCAGCCCAGAGCCUGAAUCAGUGUGUGUGUUAGUGGAAGCGUCUGGAAAGGCGCGCGAUACAGGGUGACAGCCCCGUACACAAAAAUGCACAUGCUGUGAGCUCGAUGAGUAGGGCGGGACACGUGGUAUCCUGUCUGAAUAUGGGGGGACCAUCCUCCAAGGCUAAAUACUCCUGACUGACCGAUAGUGAACCAGUACCGUGAGGGAAAGGCGAAAAGAACCCCGGCGAGGGGAGUGAAAAAGAACCUGAAACCGUGUACGUACAAGCAGUGGGAGCACGCUUAGGCGUGUGACUGCGUACCUUUUGUAUAAUGGGUCAGCGACUUAUAUUCUGUAGCAAGGUUAACCGAAUAGGGGAGCCGAAGGGAAACCGAGUCUUAACUGGGCGUUAAGUUGCAGGGUAUAGACCCGAAACCCGGUGAUCUAGCCAUGGGCAGGUUGAAGGUUGGGUAACACUAACUGGAGGACCGAACCGACUAAUGUUGAAAAAUUAGCGGAUGACUUGUGGCUGGGGGUGAAAGGCCAAUCAAACCGGGAGAUAGCUGGUUCUCCCCGAAAGCUAUUUAGGUAGCGCCUCGUGAAUUCAUCUCCGGGGGUAGAGCACUGUUUCGGCAAGGGGGUCAUCCCGACUUACCAACCCGAUGCAAACUGCGAAUACCGGAGAAUGUUAUCACGGGAGACACACGGCGGGUGCUAACGUCCGUCGUGAAGAGGGAAACAACCCAGACCGCCAGCUAAGGUCCCAAAGUCAUGGUUAAGUGGGAAACGAUGUGGGAAGGCCCAGACAGCCAGGAUGUUGGCUUAGAAGCAGCCAUCAUUUAAAGAAAGCGUAAUAGCUCACUGGUCGAGUCGGCCUGCGCGGAAGAUGUAACGGGGCUAAACCAUGCACCGAAGCUGCGGCAGCGACACUUAUGUGUUGUUGGGUAGGGGAGCGUUCUGUAAGCCUGUGAAGGUGUGCUGUGAGGCAUGCUGGAGGUAUCAGAAGUGCGAAUGCUGACAUAAGUAACGAUAAAGCGGGUGAAAAGCCCGCUCGCCGGAAGACCAAGGGUUCCUGUCCAACGUUAAUCGGGGCAGGGUGAGUCGACCCCUAAGGCGAGGCCGAAAGGCGUAGUCGAUGGGAAACAGGUUAAUAUUCCUGUACUUGGUGUUACUGCGAAGGGGGGACGGAGAAGGCUAUGUUGGCCGGGCGACGGUUGUCCCGGUUUAAGCGUGUAGGCUGGUUUUCCAGGCAAAUCCGGAAAAUCAAGGCUGAGGCGUGAUGACGAGGCACUACGGUGCUGAAGCAACAAAUGCCCUGCUUCCAGGAAAAGCCUCUAAGCAUCAGGUAACAUCAAAUCGUACCCCAAACCGACACAGGUGGUCAGGUAGAGAAUACCAAGGCGCUUGAGAGAACUCGGGUGAAGGAACUAGGCAAAAUGGUGCCGUAACUUCGGGAGAAGGCACGCUGAUAUGUAGGUGAAGCGACUUGCUCGUGGAGCUGAAAUCAGUCGAAGAUACCAGCUGGCUGCAACUGUUUAUUAAAAACACAGCACUGUGCAAACACGAAAGUGGACGUAUACGGUGUGACGCCUGCCCGGUGCCGGAAGGUUAAUUGAUGGGGUUAGCGCAAGCGAAGCUCUUGAUCGAAGCCCCGGUAAACGGCGGCCGUAACUAUAACGGUCCUAAGGUAGCGAAAUUCCUUGUCGGGUAAGUUCCGACCUGCACGAAUGGCGUAAUGAUGGCCAGGCUGUCUCCACCCGAGACUCAGUGAAAUUGAACUCGCUGUGAAGAUGCAGUGUACCCGCGGCAAGACGGAAAGACCCCGUGAACCUUUACUAUAGCUUGACACUGAACAUUGAGCCUUGAUGUGUAGGAUAGGUGGGAGGCUUUGAAGUGUGGACGCCAGUCUGCAUGGAGCCGACCUUGAAAUACCACCCUUUAAUGUUUGAUGUUCUAACGUGGACCCGUAAUCCGGGUUGCGGACAGUGUCUGGUGGGUAGUUUGACUGGGGCGGUCUCCUCCUAAAGAGUAACGGAGGAGCACGAAGGUUGGCUAAUCCUGGUCGGACAUCAGGAGGUUAGUGCAAUGGCAUAAGCCAGCUUGACUGCGAGCGUGACGGCGCGAGCAGGUGCGAAAGCAGGUCAUAGUGAUCCGGUGGUUCUGAAUGGAAGGGCCAUCGCUCAACGGAUAAAAGGUACUCCGGGGAUAACAGGCUGAUACCGCCCAAGAGUUCAUAUCGACGGCGGUGUUUGGCACCUCGAUGUCGGCUCAUCACAUCCUGGGGCUGAAGUAGGUCCCAAGGGUAUGGCUGUUCGCCAUUUAAAGUGGUACGCGAGCUGGGUUUAGAACGUCGUGAGACAGUUCGGUCCCUAUCUGCCGUGGGCGCUGGAGAACUGAGGGGGGCUGCUCCUAGUACGAGAGGACCGGAGUGGACGCAUCACUGGUGUUCGGGUUGUCAUGCCAAUGGCACUGCCCGGUAGCUAAAUGCGGAAGAGAUAAGUGCUGAAAGCAUCUAAGCACGAAACUUGCCCCGAGAUGAGUUCUCCCUGACCCUUUAAGGGUCCUGAAGGAACGUUGAAGACGACGACGUUGAUAGGCCGGGUGUGUAAGCGCAGCGAUGCGUUGAGCUAACCGGUACUAAUGAACCGUGAGGCUUAACCUUACAACGCCGAAGCUGUU